UGGAGUUGAGAACGGCAAACCCUUAUUUCCAUGGACCGUGUUAUUCGUACCCGGAGUUUGACACUCCGGGUUACAUGGUCCCACCUCCCCACUCACAUGGGAGGUCGGCCCCACACAUUUGGGCAUGGGUCCCCGACCUCUCCAUGUGAGAGGUCGGGUGGGGCCGUGUAACCCGGAGUGGUACAAAUGGCAAAACCCUAUUUCCAUUCGAACUUUGAUUCUUCAAAGCAGAGCUACAACAGUAGCCGGCUAGCAGCUAUAGCAUGGAGUCGGUGGAUUGGAUUGUGUGCGGCAUGCCGGUGGGCAGUGUGCAAACAAUUGAACAAGGCCUCGAACACGACCAGCUUGUGAGUGAUUGACGAAAUCGAAAGAAAUAGGCAAAAGUUGGCGAAUUGGAUGAAAGGACCAAAUUGUAAGAGAUCCAAAGUCGGGGACUAAAGCGCAAAUAAUCAAAAGUUGUGUUGAACCUCAUGAUGAAGAUCCGAGAGUGUUGGGAGUCAAUUGGAUGAAGAAAGAUGUCAAAGGGAUCAAAUUUAGUCAAAAUAUGAUCACAAAUCAAUUUCCAACUGAAAAGCUAUGCUCCAGAGUUUCAGUCUCACUUUGAUACUAGCAAAGUUGUAGUUCUCUGGGUUAUCUUUCCAACACAUUUUGAAUUACCUCAUUCGGACAUCAGACAAGAAAGUUAUGCUAAAAAUAUUGAAGGAUGCACAAUUUGUCAUUUUAGCCGAACUGGCGCCGAAUAUGGGCGCCGCAACGCCCAUUAUUAUGGAAUUCGGCAGUAUGCCGAGCGCCCAUAUUGGGCGCCGAUGUGCCGGCCAUGCUUGGAAACGUGUUUUAAUGAUUUUAGACUCUUUUCUUGGUCCAAUUCAAACCUAAUUCGUCCUAAACUCCAAUGACACUAUAAAUACAAGUUCAAAACCCUAUUUUCUAGGACAAUUGAACACACAAUUCAUCUAGGAUAAGGAGGCUAUAUCAAGGAAUCACGAAGAAAGCAUGAAGAACAUCAAAGGAGAAGUCAAUUAAAAGUUUGUAGAGUUUUUUCCUAAUGAAAUUUUCAUAGCUAAGGAACAAGAACAACACUUGCAUUUUUAAGUGAUUUGUUGUCCUGGGAGUUGUUCUGUUUCCAGAAGCCAUACUUCUCCCUGGAGUAAUUUGUUCUGUUUCCAAAAGCCAUACUUCCCCCUGGAGUAAUUUUACCUAAUUUUAUAGUUGUUAUUGAACGAUCGUUGACACAAGUUCAUGCUCCCUAUUAUAUUGGUAUGGUA